CCUCCCUGCCCCAUCUCAAGGCUCAGAAAACUAUUUUCAGGUAAAUAGCCAGAAAACCCACGUUGAGAUUCUAACAUCUACCAUGACUGAAUGCAGCCACCCUAGGAUACAAGACUUCUACCCAUCCCUUAGGACUCCACAAACUUUCUUCAGGAACAUAGAAGAAAGUAUCACCAAGGACAGCACCGGGUAGGAAGAAGACAGCAACUGGCCAGUUCUUCAGUGUGUGGUCCUGAAGGAGUGUGGGAGGAAUACGGAGAGCACUUGGGGAAUGUUUAGGAGGAGAGGAAGAAGAAGGUGGUGAUGAAGGCAUUACUGAAGAGGCUUCACUUGUUCUCAGGCACAUGGCACAGCCUCAGUGAGAAGCAAGCCAUUUCAUGAAGAAACUUCCCAGCACUAUUGCAGAGCAGCGCUCUGUAGAAGAUACAAAUAUUCCUGCAUGGUGACAUACUCUUACCAGAACUCCGAAGCAUCUCUGCUGUAUUACCUUCCACAUUUUCUCCCAGAACAAAAAUGAAACAGCCCAACAUUGAGAAUCUCUUGAUCAAUAAAGUCUGAUCACUGCAACACUUAAAA